AUUCCAGCUCCAAUAGCGUAUAUUAAAGUUGUUGCAGUUAAAAAGCUCGUAGUUGGAUUUCUGGUAGAAGUAGCGACCUUGGGUCUUUGACCUAUGAAGUUGCUAUCUUCAACCAUCCUUGAAGAGAUUUAGUUUGGCAUUAAGUUGUCGAACUAAAGAUAUUCAUCUUUUACUGUGAAAAAAUCAGAACGUUCAAAGUAAGCAUUUAGCUUUGAAUGUAUUAGCAUGGAAUAAUGAAAUAGGACUUAGGUACUACUUUGUUGGUUUAUGCACCUAGGUAAUGAUUAAUAGGGACAGUCGGGGGUAUUCGUAUUCCAAUGUUAGAGGUGAAAUUCUUGGAUUUUUGGAGGACGAACAACUGCGAAAGCAUUUACCAAGGAUGUUUUCAUUA
rnacentral:rRNA from 1 species